AGAGAAUCUGGAGAUGUAGAAAACAUGUUGUUAAGGAAGCAGGGAAAUGACUUAAAGUGUUUCAGUCCUAAAGGGAGUCGGGAAACACACAGUUCUCAAACACAAAAUUGCAGUUUGAGAGAGGGACAAUCUGGUGUAUGGUUGGAUAGGGCAGGAAAAUAUGGGAUUAAACUGGAGGCAAAAGGAUUGAAGUUAAUUAGGAAACGGUGUCACAGAGGAGGUGAAGCAGUGACAGAGCUCUGGGGUGUGUGACCUCUGUGGUGGCUCUGGGGAGCCUGAUGGAGAAAACACUGCCAGGACUGAGGCAGGAUGGAAGCAGGAGGAUGCAUCCAGAGCUGAUCAGUGAGUUGGGAGCUGUGGGGAAACACCAGGAUCCUCCCCCUCUUCCAGAAGGUGCUUCUUGGAGCUUCCAAAAGCCAAUACCUUGGGCUGAAGCUCAGCAGCUUCUUCCCAGCCACCCAGAGGCAGGAACUGGCAGUUCUGGCUGGAAGUUGCUCUCCCUGUUCCCGACUUUUCCACAAAAUUCACCAGAUGAAGCAAAAUCUUAACAACAAAGAGCAAACACAAACCACUUUGCAUUGGACUCCUGACUCAUGAUUAUAAACUGCAUUGGGUUAUUUUCCCUUGGAAAGGAGCACUAUUGUUCCGGGUCAAGAUUAAUUUAUGUCAAAGGGAAUAUAAUAGGAGAUUAUUAUAUAAUUUAUUUUUCCAGCCUUGCUUACCACCAUUCAUUAAGGCCUCUGGCAUCUCCUUCCCCAUUAUCAUGUAUCAUUUAGUGCAUAUUUUUUGUGAAGUUGGUUUUCAGAUGUGGGACAUAAUAUUUAUCCCCUUGUUUAUCCCUUGUUUCUUACACACUGUGCAGGAGGUCUGAACUCACUUCAGGAAAUGAGGGGUACUUUUCAGGGCACGAGAAGUGUUUGUGUAGGAAAUAAAAAUUGCUUGUAAGCUUU